GUAGGUAUAGCUCAGUGGUAGAAUGUUUACCUGGUAUGCAAGAGGCCCUGGGUUUGAUUCCCAGCACAACA
rnacentral:tRNA from 1 species